rnacentral:rRNA from 1 species
AGUGGCGAACGGGUGAGUAACACAUCGGAACGUACCCAGGAGUGGGGGACAACCUCGAGAAAUCGAGGCUAAUACCGCAUACGUCCUGAGGGAGAAAGCGGGGGAUUCGCAAGGACCUCGCGCUCAUGGAUCGGCCGAUGCCGGAUUAGCUAGUUGGUGGGGUAAUAGCCCACCAAGGCUACGAUCCGUAGCUGGUUUGAGAGAACGACCAGCCACACUGGAACUGACACACGGUCCAG